ACCGGCGGCCACUGCCGGGGCUUCCGCCGCCGCUGCUUCUGCACCAAGCCGUGCUAGCCGAAUCCGAUGAACCAGCCACUGCGCUGCGCCUGCCGUGUACGUACGCUCGUAUGUUUCCGUUGUGUGUGUCCAUGAAUAAAAACUAUAUACUGUGUGGUAAUAUAUGUUGAUUUCCCGUCUGAUUAAUAUAUGUUGAUCCUUUCGUCCUCGA
rnacentral:lncRNA from 1 species